rnacentral:rRNA from 1 species
CGGGUGAGUAACGCGUGAGUAACCUGCCUUACACAAGGGGGUAGCCUUUGGAAACGAAGAAUAAUACCCUAUAAAACUAUAAAAGCACAUGCUAGAAUGGUCAAAGUGCUAGCGGUGUAAGAUGGACUUGCGUCUGAUUAGCUAGUUGGUGAGAUAAAAGCUCACCAAGGCAACGAUCAGUAGCCGGCUUGAGAGAGUGUACGGCCACAUUGGGACUGAGACACGGCCCAG